CGGGUGAGUAACACGUGGUCAACCUUCCCUUUAGUGGGGAUAACUAGCCGAAAGGUUAGCUAAUACCGCAUACGACUUAUGAGUGGCAUCAUUUAUAAAUGAAAGUAGCAAUACGCUAAAGGAUGGGACCGCGUCCCAUUAGCUAGAUGGUGGGGUAAUGGCCUACCAUGGCUCCGAUGGGUAGCUGGUUUGAGAGAGCGAUCAGCCACACUGGGACUGAGAAACGGCCCAG
rnacentral:rRNA from 1 species